UACGUAGGGUGCGAGCGUUAAUCGGAAUUACUGGGCGUAAAGCGUGCGCAGGCGGUUUUGUAAGCCAGAUGUGAAAUCCCCGGGCUUAACCUGGGAAUGGCAUUUGGGACUGCAGGGCUCGAGUGCGGCAGAGGAGACUGGAAUUCCUGGUGUAGCAGUGAAAUGCGUAGAUAUCAGGAGGAACACCGAUGGCGAAGGCAGGUCUCUGGGCUGACACUGACGCUCAUGCACGAAAGCGUGGGGAGCAAACAGG
rnacentral:rRNA from 1 species